UGCCAGCAGCCGCGGUAAGACGAAGGUGGCAACCGUUGUUCGGAAUCACUGGGCAUAAAGAGCACGUAGGCGGGUCUUUAAGUCGGGUGUGAAAUCCCUCGGCCCAACCGAGGAACUGCGCCCGAUACUGAAGGCCUUGAGGGCAGGAGGGGAGUGUAGAAUUCCUGGUGGAGCGGUGAAAUGCGUUGACAUCAGGAGGAAUACCGGCGGCGAAGGCGACACUCUGGCCUGCUUCUGACGCUGAGGUGCGAAAGCUAGGGGAGCAAACGGGAUUAGAUA
rnacentral:rRNA from 1 species